UUGGGCACCUGUUAUUUGCCAGGGAAUGUGAUUGACAGAUGCGGUCCCUUGCUCCCUACUCUAUGGGGGAGACUGAAAACAAAAAAAUGAAACAAACUGUGAAAGGAGAGGAUCCGACACCAUCAAGAGUCAUCAAAUCUGACAUAAUGACUAUUUGAAGGCCAUUUCAAAAGAGAUGUUCAGCAGGCAUUACAAGUGCUGGAACAGUGGGAAAUAUGCAAAGAAUAUUAACGAUGCAAUUGCUGAUUAUGAAAUAAAAUGCAUUUGGUUCACCGUU